rnacentral:telomerase_RNA from 1 species
GCGGUUUUUUGAAGAUGUUAUUUGUCCGCCUCGCACUGCCCUCCGCUUUCAGGAGAGGAAACAAAAACUUGUC